AUUGAACGCUGGCGGCAGGCCUAACACAUGCAAGUCGAGCGGAGCGGUGGACGGGUGAGUAAUGCCUAGGAAUCGGCCUGGUAGUGGGGGAUAACGUCCGGAAACGGGCGCUAAUACCGCAUACUAUCAGAUGAGCCUAGGUCGGAUUAGCUAGUUGGUGGGGUAAAGGCAUACCAAGGCGACGAUCCGUAACUGGUCUGAGAGGAUGAUCAGUCAACCUGUAACUGAGACACGGUCCAGACUCCGCCGGGAGGCAGCAGUGGGGAAUAUUGUACAAUGGUCGCAAGCCUGAUCCAGCCAUGCCGCGUGUGUGAAGAAGGUCUUCGGAUUGUAAAGCACUUUCAGUUGGGAGGCGUUACCAACAGAAUAAGCACCGGCUAACUUCGUGCCAGCAGCCGCGGUAAUUC
rnacentral:rRNA from 1 species